AGAGCGAACGCUGGCGGCAGGCUUAACACAUGCAAGUCGAGCGGGCGUAGCAAUACGUCAGCGGCAGACGGGUGAGUAACGCGUGGGAACAUACCUUUUGGUUCGGAACAACCCAGGGAAACUUGGGCUAAUACCGGAUAAGCCCUUACGGGGAAAGAUUUAUCGCCAAAAGAUUGGCCCGCGUCUGAUUAGCUAGUUGGUGAGGUAACGGCUCACCAAGGCGACGAUCAGUAGCUGGUCUGAGAGGAUGAUCAGCCACAUUGGGACUGAGACACGGCCCAAACUCCUACGGGAGGCAGCAGUGGGGAAUAUUGGACAAUGGGCGCAAGCCUGAUCCAGCCAUGCCGCGUGAGUGAUGAAGGCCCUAGGGUUGUAAAGCUCUUUUGUGCGGGAAGAUAAUGACGGUACCGCAAGAAUAAGCCCCGGCUAACUUCGCGCCAGCACGCCGC
rnacentral:rRNA from 1 species